AGUCUGCAACUCGACUGCAUGAAGCUGGAAUCGCUAGUAAUCGCGAAUCAGAAUGUCGCGGUGAAUACGUUCCCGGGCCUUGUACACACCGCCCGUCACACCAUGGGAGUUGGAAGCACCCGAAGUCGGUGACCUGACCGAAAGGGAGGAGCCGCCGAAGGUGAAGCCAGCGACUGGGGUGAAGUCGUAACAAGGUAAC
rnacentral:rRNA from 1 species